UAUAAUAAUAAUAAUAGCAAUUAUUAUUAUUAUAGUUAACAUUAAGCAACAUAAUUUAUUUGUAUAUUUAAAAUUACAUGUUUAUAAUAUCAUAUAUUAUAGGACAAGGAGCAAAUAAUAAUAAAAAUAAUUAUGAUAGUAAU
rnacentral:miRNA from 1 species